rnacentral:rRNA from 1 species
CCUACGGGUGGCUGCAGUGAGGAAUAUUGGUCAAUGGACGAGAGUCUGAACCAACCAAGUAGCGUGAAGGAUGACUGCCCUAUGGGUUGUAAACUUCUUUUAUAUGGGAAUAAAAUGUUCCACGUGUGGGAUUUUGUAUGUACCAUAUGAAUAAGGAUCGGCUAACUCCGUGCCAGCAGCCGCGGUAAUACGGAGGAUCCGAGCGUUAUCCGGAUUUAUUGGGUUUAAAGGGAGCGUAGGUGGUUUGUUAAGUCAGUUGUGAAAGUUUGCGGCUCAACCGUAAAAUUGCAGUUGAUACUGGCAGUCUUGAGUACAGAAGAGGUAGGCGGAAUUCGUGGAGGAGCGGUGAAAUGCUUAGAUAUAACGAAGAACUCCGAUUGCGAAGGCAGUUCACUGGACUGCAACUGACACUGAGGCUCGAAAGUGUGGGUAUCAAACAGGAUUAGAUACCCCAGUAGUC